rnacentral:rRNA from 1 species
GACGAACGCUGGCGGCGUGCUUAACACAUGCAAGUCGAACGGAAAGGCCCUGCUUUUGUGGGGUGCUCGAGUGGCGAACGGGUGAGUAACACGUGAGUAACCUGCCCUUGACUUUGGGAUAACUUCAGGAAACUGGGGCUAAUACCGGAUAGGAGCUCCUGCUGCAUGGUGGGGGUUGGAAAGUUUCGGCGGUUGGGGAUGGACUCGCGGCUUAUCAGCUUGUUGGUGGGGUAGUGGCUUACCAAGGCUUUGACGGGUAGCCGGCAUGAGAGGGUGAACGGGCACAUUGGGACUGAGAUAGGGCCCAGACUCCUACGGGGGGCAGCAGUGGGGAAUAUUGCACAGUGGGCGGACGCCUGAUGCAGCAACGCCGCGUGCGGGAUGACGGCCUUCGGGUUGUAAACCGCUUUCGCCUGUGACGAAGCGUGAGUGACGGUAAUGGGUAAAGAAGCACCGGCUAACUACGUG